UCAAGCGCGAUAAGGGCGUUUGGUGGAUGCCUUGGCAGCAAGAGGCGAUGAAGGACGUGGCACUCUGCGAUAAGCCCGGGGGAGGCGAGAGCACCCUUUGAUCCCGGGAUGUCCGAAUGGGGAAACCCACCUGACAGUCACUGAUUGCGAGAAGCCGGACGGAGCGCGCACAGCGUUCCGGCCAGGAUGGCUUUUCCCGAUCGGGGGCUGAACCAGGUACUUUUGACCUGAACACAUAGGGUUAAAAGAGCGAACCCGGGGAACUGAAACAUCUCAGUACCCGGAGGAAAGGAAAUCAACCGAUACUCCGCUAGUAGUGGCGAGCGAACGCGGACCAGCCGAGCCGAGAGCGUCAGCAGAACCAGCUGGAAUGCUGGGCGAUAUGGGUGACAGCCCCGUAUGCGACGAUGCUCGAGGACGUAUCAAGUAGGGCGGGACACGUGCAAUCCUGUCUGAAGAUCGGGGGACCACCCUCGAAGGCUAAGUACUCCUUGCUGACCGAUAGCGAACCAGUACCGUGAGGGAAAGGUGAAAAGCACCCCGACAAGGGGAGUGAAACAGUCCCUGAAACCGGACGCCUACAAACAGUCGGAGCUUCUCGAGGACCUUCGGGUCAUCGGGUUGGUGACGGCGUACCUUUUGUAUAAUGGGUCAACGACUUGGUCUCACAUGCGAGCUUAAGCCGGUAGGUGUAGGCGCAGCGAAAGCGAGUCUGAACAGGGCGCUUGAGUAUGUGGGAUCAGACCCGAAACCGAGUGAUCUAGGCAUGUCCAGGAUGAAGGUGCGGUAACACGCACUGGAGGUCCGAACCCACACCUGUUGAAAAAGGUCGGGAUGAGGUGUGCCUAGGGGUGAAAGGCCAAUCAAACUCGGAGAUAGCUGGUUCUCCGCGAAAUCUAUUUAGGUAGAGCGUCAGAUGAAUACCCCCGGGGGUAGAGCACUGCAUGGGCUAUGGGGACUCACCGUCUUACUGAUCCUAAGCAAACUCCGAAUACCGGGGCGUAGUGUCUGGCAGACAGACGUCGGGUGCUAACGUCCGGCGUCGAGAGGGAAACAACCCUGACCUGCAGCUAAGGCCCCCAAUUCGUGGCUAAGUGGGAAAGCAUGUGAGACGGCCAAAACAACCAGGAUGUUGGCUUAGAAGCAGCCAUCAUUUAAAGAAAGCGUAACAGCUCACUGGUCUAGACAAGCUGUCUUGCGGCGAAGAUGUACCGGGGCUCAAGCCACGAGCCGAAGCUCAGGGUGUGCGGCGCAAGCCGUGCGCGGUAGCGGAGCGUUCCGUGAAGCAGUGCCAUGUCUCUUCAGCCUCGUUCCGAGGCUUCGGAGACACGGCGCUCGACUGUGAAGCCGGGCCGUGAGGCAUCCGGUGGAGUGAUCGGAAGCGAGAAUGUUGACAUGAGUAGCGACAAACAGGGUGAGAGACCCUGUCGCCGAAAGUCCAAGGGUUCCUGCUUAAAGCUAAUCUGAGCAGGGUGAGCCGACCCCUAAGGCGAGGCCGAGAGGCGUAGUCGAUGGGAACCGGGUUAAUAUUCCCGGGCCAGGAGGAAGUGACGGAUCGCGGCUGUUGUCGUCCCUUAUCGGAUUGGGGCGGCCUCGAUGCGGUUCCUGGAAACAGCCCUCCAUCAGAUCGUACCCGAAACCGACACAGGUGGACUGGUAGAGCAUACCAAGGCGCUUGAGAGAACUGCGUUGAAGGAACUCGGCAAAAUGCCUCCGUAACUUCGGGAGAAGGAGGCCCCGUUGGCGCGCAAGCGUUGGCGGGGGGCACAGACCAGGGGGUGGCGACUGUUUACUAAAAACACAGGUCUCUGCGAAGCCGUAAGGCGACGUAUAGGGACUGACGCCUGCCCGGUGCCGGAAGGUUAAAAGGAGGGGUGCAAGCUCCGAAUUGAAGCCCCGGUAAACGGCGGCCGUAACUAUAACGGUCCUAAGGUAGCGAAAUUCCUUGUCGGGUAAGUUCCGACCUGCACGAAUGGCGUAACGACUUCCCCGCUGUCUCCAACGCAGACUCAGCGAAAUUGAACUCCCCGUGAAGAUGCGGGGUUCCCGCGGUCAGACGGAAAGACCCCGUGCACCUUUACUACAGCUUCACACUGGCAUCAGGCCAGGCAUGUGCAGGAUAGGUGGCAGGCUUUGAAGCGGGGACGCCAGUUCCCGGGGAGCCUCCCUUGAGAUACCACCCUUGCCUUGCCUGAUGUCUAACCGCGGACCGUCAUCCGGUUCCGGGACCCUGUGUGGCGGGUAGUUUGACUGGGGCGGUCGCCUCCCAAAGAGUAACGGAGGCGCGCGAUGGUGGGCUCAGGCUGGUCGGAAAUCAGCCGUCGAGUGCAAUGGCAUAAGCCCGCCUGACUGCGAGACUGACAAGUCGAGCAG
rnacentral:rRNA from 1 species